UACGAAGGGUGCAAGCGUUAAUCGGAAUUACUGGGCGUAAAGCGCGCGUAGGUGGUUCAGCAAGUUGGAUGUGAAAGCCCUGGGCUCAACCUGGGAACUGCAUUCAAAACUGACAAGCUAGAGUAUGGUAGAGGGUGGUGGAAUUUCCUGUGUAGCGGUGAAAUGCGUAGAUAUAGGAAGGAACACCAGUGGCGAAGGCGACCACCUGGACUGAUACUGACACUGAGGUGCGAAAGCGUGGGGAGCAAACAGGAUUAGAAACCCUGGUAGU
rnacentral:rRNA from 1 species